rnacentral:rRNA from 1 species
UACAGAGGUCUCGAGCGUUAGGCGGAAUCACUGGGCUUAAAGCGUGUGUAGGCGGUCUGCUAAGUUUGAUGUGAAAUCCCGGGGCUCAACCCUGGAAUGGCAUUGAAUACUGGCGGACUAGAGUACCGGAGAGGAAACUGGAAUUUACGGUGUAGCAGUGAAAUGCGUAGAGAUCGUAAGGAAGACCAGUGGCGAAGGCGAGUUUCUGGACGGUAACUGACGCUGAGGCACGAAGGCCAGGGGAGCAAACGGG